UCUGCUGGUGUUGGCCGCUAUUUUCAGGCCGAUAGAGGCGGGAGCUGCUGAGCCCACGCGCCGGCGGCGGUUUCAUUUCGAAAAAAAAAGCGGUAAACGGCCGUGAGCGAGAUGGCGGGAAGCGCGAGUUUGAGAGGAGGAGGAGGAGAACGACGGUGAGGAAAGUGCAACUAGAUGCUCAUGUAACAGAGAACAAAAGAUGAAUUUAAGCAUUGUAGUGGUGUUGGUCUUAACCUUGAUGAUUAUCCAUUUACGGUUGGUGGACAAUAUGAAUUCAACCGAUCAAGGUUUGUUUUUUUAUUGCAGAAAAUCACGUUUGCUGUCAGAU